rnacentral:rRNA from 1 species
UACGAAGGGGGCUAGCGUUGCUCGGAAUCACUGGGCGUAAAGGGCGCGUAGGCGGACUUUUAAGUCAGGGGUGAAAUCCUGAGGCUCAACCUCGGAACUGCCUUUGAUACUGGGGAUCUCGAGUCCGGGAGAGGUGAGUGGAACUGCGAGUGUAGAGGUGAAAUUCGUAGAUAUUCGCAAGAACACCAGUGGCGAAGGCGGCUCACUGGCCCGGUACUGACGCUGAGGUGCGAAAGCGUGGGGAGCAAACAGG